rnacentral:rRNA from 1 species
UACGUUCCCGGGCCUUGUACACACCGCCCGUCAAGCCAUGGAAGCUGGGGGUGCCUGAAGUCGGUGACCGCAAGGAGCUGCCUAGGGUAAAACUAGUAACUAGGGCG